rnacentral:rRNA from 1 species
AUNAGACUUUGAGAGAGAGUUCAGAGUACGUGAAACUGCUCAGAGGAAAACAGGUGGACCCACGAAGUCCUGUGGCGGGAGGAUUCAGUCUAGCGACGCUCUCGUCCGUCUCGCUUUCAUUGCGGACCCACUCACCGGGCCGAGCGAGGCGGAUCGAGGGGCCGACGGACGCAUUUCUUUCCCGCCCGUAAGGACGCCGCGACCGGUUGGUCGAUGCGAUCUGAAGUACGACCGCUGGCAGGUGGCCGGAAGGACGAUCUCGUCCGCCGGUGUCUAGCCUGGUACGUAGCACGAUCGCGUCCCGACCGGGUUGGAUGCGGCCCUCUCAUGGGCCGUUACGCCUCCUCCUCCCUGGACGCGAGUAGACGCGGCAGGUGAGACGCUUUCGGGCCGAGCGCACGGACUGACUCCGUGGCCAAGCCGACUGACGUCCCCGCUGGCUGCGCAGGGCUCGCAGGAGUGCCGAGGUGUCUGCGGCGAGUAGAUCGGUCAUCCACCUGACCCGUCUUGAAACACGGACCAAGGAGUUUAACAUGUAUGCGAGUCACUGGGACUCGACAAAGCCCAAAGGCGCAAUGAAAGUAACAUUUCAUGAGUUGGGAUCCCCUCUCUUUUACGGAAGGGGCGCACCAACGGCCCGUCACGUCCUAUUUACUUAGGUGUGUCGGAGUCAGAGCAUACACGUUAUGACCCGAAAGAUGGUGAGCUAUGCCCGGGCAGGACGAAGCCAGAGGAAACUCUGGUGGAGGUCCGCCGCGGUUCUGACGUGCAAAUCGAUCGUCAGACCCGUGUAUAGGGCAAAAAAAAAAAAUUAAA